rnacentral:rRNA from 1 species
AUGAACGCUAGCUACAGGCUUAACACAUGCAAGUCAGGGGCAGCAUUGAGAUAGCUUGCUAUUCAGAUGGCGACCGGCGCACGGGUGAGUAACACGUAUCCAACCUUCCCCUUAGUAGAGGAUAGCCCGGCGAAAGUCGGAUUAAUACUCUAUGAUGAUUUUGAGGACAUCUGACGAAUACCAAAGAUUCAUCGCUAAGGGAUGGGGAUGCGUCUGAUUAGCUUGUUGGCGGGGUAACGGCCCACCAAGGCGACGAUCAGUAGGGGUUCUGAGAGGAAGGUCCCCCACAUUGGUACUGAGACACGGACCAAACUCCUACGGGAGGCAGCAGUGAGGAAUAUUGGUCAGUGGGCGAGAGCCUGAACCAGCCAAGUAGCGUGCAGGAAGAACCUGCCCUAUGGGUUGUAAACUGCUUUUAUCAGGGAAUAAAGUGCGGCACGUGUGCUGUUUUGUAUGUACCUGAUGAAUAAGGACCGGCUAAUUCCGUGCCAGCCGCUGC